rnacentral:rRNA from 1 species
UGGGGAAUCAUAGACAAUGGGGGAAACCCUGAUCUUGCCAUGCCGCGUGGACGAUGAAGGCCCUAGGGUUGUAAAGUCCUUUCACCGGUGAAGAUAAUGACGGUAGCCGGAGAAGAAGCCCCGGCUAACUCCGUGCCAGCAGCCGCGGUAAUACGGAGGGGGCUAGCGUUGUUCGGAAUUACUGGGCGUAAAGCGCGCGUAGGCGGGCUGUUAAGUCGGGGGUGAAAUCCCGGGGCUCAACCUCGGAAUUGCCCUCGAUACUGGCAGCCUAGAGAUCGAGAGAGGCGAGUGGAAUGGCGAGUGUAGAGGUGAAAUUCGUAGAUAUUCGCCGGAACACCAGUGGCGAAGGCGACUCGCUGGCUCGAUACUGACGCUGAGGCGCGAAAGCGUGGGGAGCAAACAGGAUUAGAUACCCCCGUAGUCC